UCCCUGGUGGUCCAGUGGUUAGGACUCCAUGCUUUGACUGUUGGGACCCAGGUUCAAUCCCUGGUCAGGGAA
rfam:TPA: Bos taurus chromosome 7, whole genome shotgun sequence.